AUGAACGCUGGCGGCGUGCCUAAUACAUGCACGUCGAGCGAACGGACGAGAAGCUUGCUUCUCUGAUGUUAGCGGCGGACGGGUGAGUAACACGUGGAUAACCUACCUAUAAGACUGGGAUAACUUCGGGAAACCGGAGCUAAUACCGGAUGAUAUUUUGAACCGCAUGGUUCAAAAGUGAAAGACGGUCUUGCUGUCACUUAUAGAUGGAUCCGCGCUGCAUUAGCUAGUUGGUAAGGUAACGGCUUACCAAGGCAACGAUGCAUAGCCGACCUGAGAGGGUGAUCGGCCACACUGGAACUGAGACACGGUCCAGACUCCUACGGGAGGCAGCAGUAGGGAAUCUUCCGCAAUGGGCGAAAGCAUGACGGAGCAACGCCGCGUGAGUGAUGAAGGUCUUCGGAUCGUAAAACUCUGUUAUUAGGGAAGAACAUAUGUGUAAGUAACUGUGCACAUCUUGACGGUACCUAAUCAGAAAGCCACGGCUAACUACGUG
rnacentral:rRNA from 1 species